rnacentral:lncRNA from 1 species
CUGUACCCUCAUUGGAAACAGAAAUUAAGCUUGUCAUUAGAUGCCGGGCCACAGGAGUUGACUGAACAGGAUCCUGCCCUUGGAAUUGGAUUUAGGAAAAGCUUCCCCAUUACAAUUUACGCAUAGCUCUGUACGCCUGGUAGAGAGCGCAGAGGAUGAGCCCGGAAAGAUGCAGCUCAGAGGAUGAGCCCGGAAAGAUGCGUUCGAUUGUAGGAGCUGGGGCGGAAGGGCCCGCUGCCCUCGCCCGGGAGCCUGGCCUUGUGGGUGCCUGGACUUCGCGGCCCUGCGUCCCCCUGCCGUCCCCACACUGCAAAGACCACAAGCUCCUGAGGGGAGGAACGGAACCAGCCAUUCGAAUUUUCUCAGGUUCCUCCUCCCCCGCUGCCGCCGGGGCCUAUGAAAUGCAUCUCGAGACUCCUGCAGAAGCCAGCUUUCUGCAGCCACCGUCAGAUCCCUGCGCAAUUUAUCUGGAUUCCGUCCGUGGUGGCCAGACUGGAUUUUGA